rnacentral:lncRNA from 1 species
GAUUGUCUCCUAGGACCAGGAAGUUUAUAUGUAAACAGAAGCCGUAAUCAGACCCCUGACCUCCUCCGGGCUUUCAACCCAAUGUUUCCACAGAGGGAUUAACCCCAAAUACCAACUUGCUCUCAGAGGGGCCCAAUGAGGCUACGGACUUAAUAGCUCCUAACAGCUGUGGAAAGUUUGAUGCAGCAGGAGCACCCAGACAGAAAAUUAAAAAACUAAUAAAGUCCUCAGUGUGGG